AAACAAAAACAAAAACAAACAAACAAAAAAAGAACCACGGGGCAGUAUCUUCUGAUUCUGUGUACUUUAAGUCCCUUGGCUUCCUCUGGAAGUUGUCCGUCCAGCUGGUCUUCUGGGGGAGGGGCCUGUUGUGCUGGUUUUCAGGUGUUAGCAGUUGGGGGAGCUGCUGUGCCCCUGCCUGGUGCAGGGCUCAGUGGGGGUUGUUUACCCCGUGAGGCCGCAGGAGGAACAGCCCCAGUGGCGGGGCAGCUCUGGAAACCUGGAUUCAGCUCCGGCAGGAACUCCGUCUGCAGGGCCUGGAGGCUCCGGGGCGGGGCCGCUGAUCUGCUCAGCUCGGGGCAGGAGCGUCCUCGCUGUCCUGGGCCCUCCCGGCCUCUGCCUGUCCCGGGGGAGGCGGGAUCCUGGGCUGUGUCCCGGCGCCCUGUGCUCCGGAGCCUGCGCUGUUGGAUUCGCGCUCCGGGGCCGCGCGCGCUGUUGGAUUCGCGCUCCCGGGCCGCGCAGCCCCCUCCGCGGAGCCGCCGCCCGAGCCCCUCCGAGCUGCUCCUGGAACCGCGCAGCCCCCUCCGCACGGAGCCUCCUCCUCUGCCCGAGCCCCUCCGAGCUGCUCCCGGGGCCGCGCAGCCCCCUCCGCGGAGCCGCCGCCCGAGCCCCUUCAGCUGCUCCGGGUCCCGCCGGGUCCCGCCGUGCGCGCUGCAGCCCUUAGGGAGCUCGGCGCACUCUCCUGGGCGCGCAGUUGCUGUUACUGUCCCCGGGAGCCCGAGGGCAUCCCCGCCCUCCUGGGUCCUGCUCCACCUCCCCGCGAGCCCCUUUCCGCCCGGGAAGGUCGGUGCAGCUCCUGCUCCUCCGGGACGGGGCUCUCCUGUCCUGGGGACACUCGCCCCGGCCUCAGCCCGGCUCCUCGCGGGCCCCUCCCCCUUGGAGGCCUUUGUUCCUUUAUUUCUUUUUCCCCGUCUUCCUACCUUGAUAGAAGCGCGAACUCUUCUCACUGUAGCAUUCCAGCUGGUCUCUCUUUAA
rnacentral:lncRNA from 12 species